rnacentral:rRNA from 1 species
UACGUAGGGUGCAAGCGUUGUCCGGAAUUAUUGGGCGUAAAGAGCUCGUAGGCGGCUUGUCACGUCGACUGUGAAAACCCGGGGCUCAACUCCGGGCCUGCAGUCGAUACGGGCUGGCUUGAGUGCGGUAGGGGAGACUGGAAUUCCUGGUGUAGCGGUGAAAUGCGCAGAUAUCAGGAAGAACACCCGUGGCGAAGGCGGUUCUCUGGAACGCAACUGACGCUGAGACGCGAAAGCGUGGGGGAGCAAACAGG